rnacentral:lncRNA from 1 species
CUUCUUCGAUGGUUGAGCCAGAUUCCACUAUCUUGCUAGUCGGAUUCCAUUCGUUGCCGUUUCCUCUGGAGAUAGAGUUCUGUUUUCAAAGAUAAGAGUGUUUCGUGCCUUCCAUAUGAACCAGCAGACCCAAGGCAGUAUGCUGUUGGUGAUUCUGGAGGGUGGGAGGCAGAUAGCGCUUCUGAAAGUCAUCAGAACUUCUUUGAAGUCCUCCUCUGUGGCUAGAUGAACCACUCUCUGGAGGGGGAUUCUACUCCAUACCUCUUUAGCGAAAGGGCAGUGAAAAAAGGUAUGGCACAUUGUCUCUUGCUCUUUACAUCUAACACACACUGCUUACUCAAAC